GGCCGCGGAGCCCCGAGGCGUCCCAGGUCAAGAGCCCGCGGGCAGUGCCCGCACGUAGCGUCCUACAGAAAAUGGGAAAAUCCCAGAAAAGGAAUAGGUCUUCCCUCUUUGCUGGGCUGUGGCAAAAGGCAUGAAACAUUCAGUGACAGAAAGACCCUUUGCUGAUGGAGGUGCCGCGUUCAAAAAAAACAGUUUCUGGAAAAACUCUGGAAAACCAAGAAGCAGGCAGUGGCCACUCAGCCCUUUCCCUGGGACAGCAGCAGCCCGCCAUCUUGGAGGGAGGCCGCCAUCUCGGAGGGAGGCCGCCAUCUCAGGUCAGGGGGAUGAGGUCUAUGUGAAGCCAAGGAUUGACUAAUGGCUGUCUCUGACUCUUCUGUGGAAAUCCCACUUCCUUCUCCACAGAUAUUUCCACAGACAGGCACUCCAGGGUCUAGACUGCUGGCUGGGCAUUCCUUUAACGAAGAUGCUGAUGGUGAUUGUCAGUGACUACCUAGAGGAAAGACUCCAAGCGCUGUCAUUUCAGAAGCAGUAGGAAUAAUCCAUUAUAACACCAUUUCCAGCCAACUUGAGCAACUGGCCAUUUCCAGGAUUAUGACACAAUGCCAAGAAUAUUAGUUAGCACCAUACGGAGUGCUGUAAUCGUGGUAUUGCAUGCGUAAGGCAAUGAUCAGAGACACCAGCUUGUUUUCCUUGAGCUCACAGGAUGUGAACUGUGCCCACGCGUAUAAGCAAAUCCAUAGCCUAACUCUUCACAGAAGGUUAGGAAAUGGGUGAAAGAGGUCUAAUACAUCAUACCAUAAAAAAUAAAAUAAAACACAAAAAGAAGCUGAUAAAACACUGAGUCACCGUGGCACUGGGAAAAGACAGAAAAUCUGUUUCCUUAGAAGCUGAAGCAGACAGCAGGAGGAGAGAAAAUGAUGUGCAGUGGGGUAGGAAAUGAGUGUUGCAGACAUAAAGGGACAUCUUAAGCAAUGACUGCUGAGACUAAUCCACUGAGUAUGUUAUCACCAUCUUCAUCUAUUUGGGUUUCAGAAAGGAAUUUAGCAUAAUACUGCAAAGCAGAUUAAUGUGUAUGGUUAGCUUUUAUGGGACUGGAGGUACUGCCCUUGAGCUGGGAAUGCAGCCAUAAGACCAAGAACAGAUUCUGCCACUAGCAUGCCAGUGUCUAGGAUGGUAAGCUACCAUUUGGUUUACCAAAGAAUGUCCUUGUGGAAGAUCCCUGCAUUAACUUACAAAAUCUGACAUACCGCACAAAAUGAGGAGUGAGAAAGCAAAUGAAAAGUAAUAGAGGGAGAAAUCGAGAGAAGGAGUAAGCAAUGGCUGAUGGCUUUUGAAAACAGGAAAGUGCAGAAUGCUGAAGCUGUCCAGAUGAGCCACGAGGUUUGACUCCAGAGCAUAGCUGAAGGGAGUACCAGCGCCUAGAAGCCUGGCGAUGGCCUUCCUGGGAAACCAGCCUGGGACACAGCACGGGAGAGGUUUGUCCUAAGCCGGGAACAUCCUUUCCCUGACCUAUGGCAGUUCUGAGCAGGUGACCCCUGUCCCCUUGGGAUUCACAGUGUGGGUGGACACCUUGCCAUGGAGUGGGCACAGGUAUGCGUGUUGCUGAAGAGGGAAGCAGACCUUAGCCUGCUUUUUGUAAAAGGGGUUGCUGGCGAUGGGGUAAUGCUGCAAACCGGGGCAGCAAGGAGGCAUUCGAGCCAAGGAGUCUGAGAGGAACAGUGGAAGAGUGAGCCUGAACAGUGAUUUAGGGAUUUUCCCCUUGCUCUGGGUUCUAGGACCUGCCCCAGACUUCAUGUGUUUUACAGAGCUGUAUUUCUGUAGCCACUGGAUAAAACUCAUGACUAGUUCAGUGGCCUCCAGGUUUUCCAAAGUGCUGAGUUUAGGGAGCAGCGAUGCAACGCUGGGCACUUCAGUUCCAUCCUGGGCCUAAUGCAUUCCUUUUUAAUCUAUCUACCAGGAAAAUCAAUCAGAAACAAUGCAUUAAGAACACAGAGCAGGAGACAUUUUGAUGACCACUUACAAG